rnacentral:misc_RNA from 1 species
CGCACCUUGCACUCUCUAGUAUUCUGGAGAGUAUGCCCGGUUGAGUGUUUUGAAUUUCUCAAGCCCAGGAUGGUUGCUCGCGACCUCUCUGGACCUUGGUGUUGAGCGUCUCCUGCUGGAGGGUCUUCCCCCCGGCUCGCUCGAAUUUCAUUAGCGUGGAUCCAUCUCGGCUCCAACACUGACGUGAUAAGUCUUAUUCGUCGUGGUUGGUCGAGUAACGGCGCGCUCCUAACCGUCCCCUCUGGGACAAUCUUCGAUCUUUACACCUCAACUCGGGUAGGACUACCCGCUGAACUUAA